ACGGAAGGCAGCAGUAGGGAGUUUUCGGCAAUGGGGGCAACCCUGGCCGAGCAACGCCGCGUGAGUGAAGAAGGUUUUCGGAUCGUAAAGCUCUGUUGUAAGAGAAGAACGUGUGUGAGAGUGGAAAGUUCACACAGUGACGGUAACUUACCAGAAAGGGACGGCUAACUACGUGCCAGCAGCCGCGGUAAUACGUAGGUCCCGAGCGUUGUCCGGAUUUAUGGGGCGUAAAGCGAGCGCAGGCGGUUUAAUAAGUCUGAAGUUAAAGGCAGUGGCUUAACCAUUGUUCGCUUUGGAAACUGUUAGGCUUGAGUGCAGAAGGGGAGAGUGGAAUUCCAUGUGUAGCGGUGAAAUGCGUAGAUAUAUGGAGGAACACCGGUGGCGAAAGCGGCUCUCUGGUCUGUAACUGACGCUGAGGCUCGAAAGCGUGGGGAGCAAACAGGAUUAGAUACCCUGGUA
rnacentral:rRNA from 1 species